CCCUUAGAUAUUCUGGGCCGCACACGCGCUACACUGAAGGAGGCAGCGUGUACUCCUGGAUCGAAAGAUUUGGGUAACCCGCGAAUCUCCUUCGUGCUAGGGAUUGAGGUUUGCAAUUAUCCUUCAUGAACGAGGAAUUCCCAGUAAGUGCAAGUCAUAAGCUUGCGCUGACUACGUCCCUGCCCUUUGUACACACCGCCCGUCGCUACUACCGAUUGAAUGAUUUAGUGAGGACUUCGGACUGGGACCGAUGCGGCUUUCGGGCUGCGUCGGUAUUCUGGAAAGAUGUCCAAACUGUAUCAUUUAGAGGAAGUAAAAGUCGUAACA
rnacentral:rRNA from 1 species